CAAUAGCGUAUAUUAAAGUUGUUGCAGUUAAAAAGCUCGUAGUUGAAUUUCUGUCAGGAGUGACCGGGCCUUUGGAUGAACUUCCAUUGUUUUUUGCUCUGUUUGUCAUCUCUAGACAUCCUGAAAUAUUUUUUAAAAAUAUUUCUCUUUUACUGUUAGCAAAAUAGAGUGUUCCAAGCAAAGCGUAGUUUUGAAUACAUUAGAAUGGAAUAAUAAGAUAGGACUUUGGUGCUAUUUUGUUGGUUCGCACACCAAGGUAAUGAUUAAUAGGGACAGUUGGGGGUAUUCGUAUUUAAUUGUCAGAGGUGAAAUUCUUGGAUUUAUGAAAGACGAACUACUGCGAAAGCAUUUACCAAGGAUGUUUUCAUUAA
rnacentral:rRNA from 1 species